ACACUCCCACUAAUUACAGGUGAAACCCUACAUCCAACUGGCGGGUUCUGCCUAGUUCCCAUUUCUCCUCAUUCCAGAAUCCAGAAGCAGUUGUACAAUCAAAGGAGGAACUCUGCUGCACUCACGGUUAAGGCCAAUGUCGAUACAUGGUUUGCCUUAAGCACAGUGGGGAUUUUUUGGACAUAGAUGGAACAUUCUGAGAGAGAGCGAGUAUGGUUGCCUUUGCCUGGCUAUCCUUGUUCAUCAAAUGAGUCAGUGCUGGAGGUUAGAUCGGCAUCCAUGGAAGUUCUUUUGAAGCUACUAAUUACAUUUCUAAUCUCACAUCAUUUUCACAAGAAAGAUUGCUUUCCAUUACUGGAUAAGGAAACUGAACAGAGUACAUAAGGGAGAGCUAGUUGGGGAUUGGGCCUUCAGGAGAGGAAAAGCUGUGAGAUGGUUGUGCUAUCAUGUUAAUAUGGUUCAUUUCUUCAGCGACUUGAGCGCUGUUGUGGCAUGUUGGGAGAAAAGGCCUUGAAAACUUGCUGGUGUUGGUGAGAAAAUUUGAUGCCUUCCUUGCUAGCAGGUGAGCUCUUGUUUCUUCCAGAAAGCAUCAGUGACUGUGAACACGGAUCACUGCUUGUGUUUACUCUUUCCAACUGUCCUGCCCACCUGUCAAAGUGCUUGCAUCCUGAACCUGUCACGAGGACCUACAGCCAUGCCCUUGGACCUUCCAUCCUUGAGAGUCAAGAACCAAACAAGCCUUUUUCUUUGCAGAAAGUGCUGAAUUAAAAUGAUGACAUCAUGCAUUCCAGUAAUAUCCACCUCUGCAUGUGUUUAAGGAAGAUUCAGGUAUCCUUCUAUCCUAUUUCAAUAAGACUUGUAAUUUCCUGCUAGUCCAA